rnacentral:rRNA from 1 species
UACAGGGGGUGCAAACGUUGCUCGGAAUCAUUGGGCGUAAAGCGCACGUAGGCGGCCCAGCAAGUCGGGUGUGAAAGCCCUCGGCUCAACCGAGGAAUUGCGCUCCAAACUACUGUACUAGAGGAAGCUAGAGGUGAGCAGAACAGAUGGUGGAGCGGUGAAAUGCGUUGAUAUCAUCUGGAAUACCGGAGGCGAAGGCGGCUCACUGGGGCCUUUCUGACGCUGAGGAACGAAAGCCAGGGUAGCGAACGGG